GUGUGAUUCGUCACACUAUCAUUAACUGAAUCCAUAGGUUAAUGAGGCGAACCGGGGGAACUGAAACAUCUAAGUACCCCGAGGAAAAGAAAUCAACCGAGAUUCCCCCAGUAGCGGCGAGCGAACGGGGAGGAGCCCAGAGCCUGAAUCAGCAUGUGUGUUAGUGGAAGCGUCUGGAAAGGCGCGCGAUACAGGGUGACAGCCCCGUACACAAAAGCGCAUGUGCUGUGAGCUCGAUGAGUAGGGCGGGACACGUGGUAUCCUGUCUGAAUAUGGGGGGACCAUCCUCCAAGGCUAAAUACUCCUGACUGACCGAUAGUGAACCAGUACCGUGAGGGAAAGGCGAAAAGAACCCCGGCGAGGGGAGUGAAAAAGAACCUGAAACCGUGUACGUACAAGCAGUGGGAGCACCCUUUGGGUGUGACUGCGUACCUUUUGUAUAAUGGGUCAGCGACUUAUAUUCUGUAGCAAGGUUAACCGAAUAGGGGAGCCGGAGGGAAACCGAGUCUUAACCGGGCGUUAAGUUGCAGGGUAUAGACCCGAAACCCGGUGAUCUAGCCAUGGGCAGGUUGAAGGUUGGGUAACACUAACUGGAGGACCGAACCGACUAAUGUUGAAAAAUUAGCGGAUGACCUGUGGCUGGGGGUGAAAGGCCAAUCAAACCGGGAGAUAGCUGGUUCUCCCCGAAAGCUAUUUAGGUAGCGCCUCGUGAAUUCAUCUCCGGGGGUAGAGCACUGUUUCGGCUAGGGGGCCAUCCCGGCUUACCAACCCGAUGCAAACUGCGAAUACCGGAGAAUGUUAUCACGGGAGACACACGGCGGGUGCUAACGUCCGUCGUGAAGAGGGAAACAACCCAGACCGCCAGCUAAGGUCCCAAAGUCAUGGUUAAGUGGGAAACGAUGUGGGAAGGCCCAGACAGCCAGGAUGUUGGCUUAGAAGCAGCCAUCAUUUAAAGAAAGCGUAAUAGCUCACUGGUCGAGUCGGCCUGCGCGGAAGAUGUAACGGGGCUAAACCAUGCACCGAAGCUGCGGCAGCGACACUGUGUGUUGUUGGGUAGGGGAGCGUUCUGUAAGCCUGUGAAGGUGUGUCGUGAGGCAUGCUGGAGGUAUCAGAAGUGCGAAUGCUGACAUAAGUAACGAUAAAGCGGGUGAAAAGCCCGCUCGCCGGAAGACCAAGGGUUCCUGUCCAACGUUAAUCGGGGCAGGGUGAGUCGACCCCUAAGGCGAGGCCGAAAGGCGUAGUCGAUGGGAAACGGGUUAAUAUUCCCGUACUUGGUGUUACUGCGAAGGGGGGACGGAGAAGGCUAUGUUGGCCGGGCGACGGUUGUCCCGGUUUAAGCGUGUAGGUGUGUGUUCCAGGUAAAUCCGGUUCACUUUAACACUGAGGCGUGACGACGAGGCACUACGGUGCUGAAGCAACAAAUGCCCUGCUUCCAGGAAAAGCCUCUAAGCAUCAGGUAACAUCAAAUCGUACCCCAAACCGACACAGGUGGUCAGGUAGAGAAUACCAAGGCGCUUGAGAGAACUCGGGUGAAGGAACUAGGCAAAAUGGUGCCGUAACUUCGGGAGAAGGCACGCUGACACGUAGGUGAAGUGAUUUACUCAUGGAGCUGAAGUCAGUCGAAGAUACCAGCUGGCUGCAACUGUUUAUUAAAAACACAGCACUGUGCAAACACGAAAGUGGACGUAUACGGUGUGACGCCUGCCCGGUGCCGGAAGGUUAAUUGAUGGGGUCAGCGCAAGCGAAGCUCCUGAUCGAAGCCCCGGUAAACGGCGGCCGUAACUAUAACGGUCCUAAGGUAGCGAAAUUCCUUGUCGGGUAAGUUCCGACCUGCACGAAUGGCGUAAUGAUGGCCAGGCUGUCUCCACCCGAGACUCAGUGAAAUUGAACUCGCUGUGAAGAUGCAGUGUACCCGCGGCAAGACGGAAAGACCCCGUGAACCUUUACUAUAGCUUGACACUGAACAUUGAGCCUUGAUGUGUAGGAUAGGUGGGAGGCUUUGAAGUGUGGACGCCAGUCUGCAUGGAGCCGACCUUGAAAUACCACCCUUUAAUGUUUGAUGUUCUAACGUGGACCCGUUACCCGGGUUGCGGACAGUGUCUGGUGGGUAGUUUGACUGGGGCGGUCUCCUCCUAAAGAGUAACGGAGGAGCACGAAGGUUGGCUAAUCCUGGUCGGACAUCAGGAGGUUAGUGCAAUGGCAUAAGCCAGCUUGACUGCGAGCGUGACGGCGCGAGCAGGUGCGAAAGCAGGUCAUAGUGAUCCGGUGGUUCUGAAUGGAAGGGCCAUCGCUCAACGGAUAAAAGGUACUCCGGGGAUAACAGGCUGAUACCGCCCAAGAGUUCAUAUCGACGGCGGUGUUUGGCACCUCGAUGUCGGCUCAUCACAUCCUGGGGCUGAAGUAGGUCCCAAGGGUAUGGCUGUUCGCCAUUUAAAGUGGUACGCGAGCUGGGUUUAGAACGUCGUGAGACAGUUCGGUCCCUAUCUGCCGUGGGCGCUGGAGAACUGAGGGGGGCUGCUCCUAGUACGAGAGGACCGGAGUGGACGCAUCACUGGUGUUCGGGUUGUCAUGCCAAUGGCACUGCCCGGUAGCUAAAUGCGGAAGAGAUAAGUGCUGAAAGCAUCUAAGCACGAAACUUGCCCCGA
rnacentral:rRNA from 1 species